GGAAAAGAAACCAACUGGGAUUACCUUAGUAACGGCGAGUGAAGCGGUAAAAGCUCAAAUUUGAAAUCUGGUACUUUCAGUGCCCGAGUUGUAAUUUGUAGAAUUUGUCUUUGAUUAGGUCCUUGUCUAUGUUCCUUGGAACAGGACGUCAUAGAGGGUGAGAAUCCCGUUUGGCGAGGAUACCUUUUCUCUGUAAGACUUUUUCGAAGAGUCGAGUUGUUUGGGAAUGCAGCUCAAAGUGGGUGGUAAAUUCCAUCUAAAGCUAAAUAUUGGCGAGAGACCGAUAGCGAACAAGUACAGUGAUGGAAAGAUGAAAAGAACUUUGAAAAGAGAGUGAAAAAGUACGUGAAAUUGUUGAAAGGGAAGGGCAUUUGAUCAGACAUGGUGUUUUUUGCAUGCACUCGCCUCUCGUGGGCUUGGGCCUCUCAAAAAUUUCACUGGGCCAACAUCAAUUCUGGCAGCAGGAUAAAUCAUUAAGAAUGUAGCUACUUCGGUAGUGUUAUAGCUUUUUGGAAUACUGUUAGCCGGGAUUGAGGACUGCGCUUCGGCAAGGAUGUUGGCAUAAUGGUUAAAUGCCGCCCGUCU
rnacentral:rRNA from 1 species